rnacentral:rRNA from 1 species
CCUACGGGUGGCAGCAGUAGGGAAUCUUUCACAAUGGGCGAAAGCCUGAUGGAGCAACGCCGCGUGCAGGAUGAAGGCCUUCGGGUUGUAAACUGCUUUUAUAAGCGAGAAAUAUGAUGGUAACUUAUGAAUAAGGAUCGGCUAACUACGUGCCAGCAGCCGCGGUCAUACGUAGGAUCCGAGCAUUAUCCGGAGUGACUGGGUGUACAGAGUUGCGUAGGUGGCAUAAUAAGUAGCUAGUGAAAUCUGGUGGCGCAACCAUUCAGACUAUUAGCUAAACUGUUAAGCUCGAGACCGUUAGAGGUAACUGGAAUUUCUAGUGUAGGAGUGAAAUGCGUAGAUAUUAGGAGGAACACCAAUAGCGUAGGCAGGUUACUGGGACGGUUCUGACACUAAGGCACGAAAGUGUGGGUAUCAAACAGGAUUAGAUACCCUUGUAGUC